rnacentral:lncRNA from 1 species
CUGUGUAUAUGUGCAAAGGAUGCAUUGUCUUUAUGUGUAAGGGUUGCAUUGUGUGUUUCUCUGUGUGUAAGGGAAGCAUGUUGUGUUUCUGUGUGUAUAGGGAUGCAUUGUGUGUGUGUGUGUGCGCGUGGUGUAAAAGAGCUCCCUGUCCUGCCCCCUGUCCUAUAGAGCUCUCCCUUCCAUUCCUUAGAAAUCUCCCCUGCCCCUUAGUGGUCUC